GGGAAGGGCGGCCCAACCCAUGGCCCCGCAGGUGGGGGGCGCCUCGGGAACGAAGCUCCAACCAUAUGGGGGGGAAGUUUUUAAAGAAGACCAAUGGCAAAAUUAUCAAGUCUCACUCUGGAAGAGAGGAGCAGGACAAAAGUCAAGAUGACUGGUGAUGGCCCAGGAUGUAGUGAAUAACCUUGGCAUCUUCAAUGUCCUACCGAGCUCCACGCACUCCACCACACCUGCUUCAACCACCUUCUUGCCCACUGGAACAAAUUGUUUUCAUCCACCCGUUCAUCAGAGAGAAAUCUUCGCGUGCUUGGGGUAGACAUCCCUUAACUCCCCUUGGGGUUUGAGGUCUGUCAGUUACCCUCAGCCUGGUUUAGCCUGUCUGAUAAGACAGUUUUACUUGGCGUGUGGCUACAGUUCUGCUACAGUAUCUUGGAGCCACAGGUUCUGUGUCUUGUUGAUCUUCAGCUUCAGCUCCUGCUUCAUCCAAGAAUUCUUCCACUAAAUACAGACAGUGUGGUUCAGAAACUCCUCUGAGUCUAGGAGGCUUGGUCAAGGAAUUCCAUUUGGUCCUGUCAAGAAAUUAGGAGAGACCCUCUUUUCCAGUACUAAGGCCUAGCAAGCAAGUUGUGCCCUGAGCUUGGCGUAACAACAAUCCUUUGUGCUCACCCUCUGGAUGAUCUCAUCCUGUGACAAAAUUAGGUAAUGAUCAUAUUGCUUGACCAGCACCAGGUGUUCUCUGAGCCUGAACAAACACCCACUGUAUCCAAGCCCGGCUAUGAAUCAAACUUGUCUCAUUGUUGCGGUUACCCCUCAUUGUCAGGGCUACAGCUCACUAUGCAGCCACUGGUAUAAGUAUUGAGAUCUCCCCAUACUGCCUUGGGUCUCCUCAGUAGGGGUGGGGUUUUGGCACAUGUAUCCAGAUCCCUCCUUGCUUGCAAGCUGUUUCCUUCACUUUGAAAUUAAACUUCUGUUUGAUUUCCUGA